GGUAGCUAUUUAAAAAAGCGGAAAUGAAAACUGAUGGAAUUCUCUUUACUAUAAAAGCAACAUGAUAAGAAAGGAACCCCCAAAUACUGCAGCCAUGAAGCCCCUGUCAGAGCUUCAUACUUUCGCCAACAAUCAACGCUCGAGUCAACACCGAAACUUUUUCCAGCCAGACAGCAGCCUGAAAUACUUUACAUGUAGCUACUUCUUUUCCUUUAUCUUACUGCUUCCUCUUUUGUUUAUGAUAUUUUUUGUUCUGGUUUUACCUUUUUUCAAGUUUAUAAUAUUUAUAGUUUGUCUGGGUUUUCCAUUCUGGUUUUUCCCUUUUUUCUAUUUUAUAAUAUUUAUAUUUUGUAUGGAUUUUCCCUUCUGGUUUUUCCCAAUCUUAUAUCGAGGAAUCUGUUUCAUUGUUUAACUAUUUUUUUCUUUUUACUUAUC